GCAGAAGGGUAAAAGUCUCUGUGUUUCAUCGGACAGUCCAAAAGGACCAAAAGAAGAGUUUAAGGUAGCAACUCAUUGGGAUGACACUCUAGAGAAAUUAUACCAAAAGCAGGUUUUUGCAGAAUCUGGACAACUUCAGCAAAAUUCUGGACACAAAGAUAGUACUGAGGGUGGCAUCAAUUCUUCUUUUGCUGGCCAGCAGUCAUCAGGCAGCAGAAAGGUAGGUGAGAAGAGACGGACCAAGACAGAGAAGACAAUCAGCUUGGAAGUUCUUCGACAGUACUUUGCAGGGAGCCUUAAGGAUGCUGCUAAGAGUAUUGGCGUGUGCCCCACCACUUUGAAAAGGAUAUGCA
rnacentral:misc_RNA from 1 species